AACGCUACAAUCCAUUUUUUGGUCUGUCGAUUUUUCGGAGACACAUUGUUAUCCACAACCCAAUAUCGUAUUACUGCUAUUGAUGGACUCCCGAAGAAGCUCAAAUUCCACUUCUGCCUUCUUCGCUGUCGUUAUUGUUAUAAUUGUGAUACUUGUUAUAACGGCGGGCCUUAAAAACUCUGCUCGUCCAUGGCGCAUCAGACGAGCUAACAUGACAUCAUCCUCCCAUCAACGAGGACGAUCUUCACCAAUCCUCGUUUCUUCAAUUAAAAGCGCAUCUAUACGUAACAAUAAGACAGCCAUCAUUUUACAGUCCCUCAACAAAACAAAACCUAAAUGGAAUCCCAAUAAUCCGAGGCCACAUGCUGUUCAAUGGCGCCCGAUCACGUUGAAGACAAAAGAGAUAAGCCAGCGCCCGCAUUUGAACGACAGCGUUGCAUCCACGUUAUCAAGAAAUGCAGGUUGAUGCGAAACACCUUCAAAUAGAGACUUCGUUUUUUGCGAUUACUCAUGCAUUUGUUUUGAAGCCUUGGAAUCAACUAUCCAAUUUCACAGCCCCGAGUGUGUCAUAAAGACCUUUAUCGCUUUCUCUUGCACUUUUUUAACACCCACGUUGCACGUAGCCGUUAAUUCUGUCAUAUUGGAUCAUAGAUUCUUGCAACUUUUGGGUUUUCAGUAAAACUCCAUUCGAGCCUUUUUUUUGUUGACGAAUACACGUUCCGUAAGGGACUUGGCUUUUUC